AUUGAACGCUGGCGGCAGGCUUAACACAUGCAAGUCGAGCGAGCGGGGGACGGGUUAGUUAUGUCUCGGAAUCUGACUGAUGGAGGGGGUUCGCUACUGGACACGGUAGCCACUACCGCCUACAAUAAGCUGUGCCCAGAUGGGAGUAGCUAGUAGGUGGGGUAAGGGCUGACCUAGGCGACGAUCCCUACCUGGUCUGAGAGGAUGAACAGCCACACUGGAACUGAGACACGGUCCAGACUCCUACGGGAGGCAGCAGUGGGGAAUAUUGGACAAUGGGCGAAAGCCUGAUGCAGCCAUGCCGCGUGUGUGAAGAAGGCCUUCGGGUUGUAAAGCACUUUCAGUGGGGAGGCGUGACUCGCAGAAGAAGCACCGGCUAACUCCGUGCCAGCAGCCGCGGUAAUAC
rnacentral:rRNA from 1 species